rnacentral:rRNA from 1 species
UUCGUAGGCGGUGCGGCAAGUCGGAAGUGAAAUCUCUGGGCUUAACUCAGAGGCUGCUCCCGAAACUGCCGUGCUAGAGUGCGGGAGAGGCGAGUGGAAUUGCAGGUGUAGCGGUGAAAUGCGUAGAUAUCUGCAGGAACACCCGUGGCGAAGGCGGCUCGCUGGACCGCAACUGACGCUGAGGAACGAAAGCUAGGGGAGCAAACAGGAUUAGAUACCCUGGUAGUCCUAGCCCUAAACCAUCAGGACUUGGGGUGCAUCCCGUUCGGGGUGCGUCCCGUAGCUAACGCGUUAAGUCCUGCGCCUGGGGAGUACGGUCGCAAGGCUGAA